rnacentral:lncRNA from 1 species
CUCGACUGCAGGGUUUGCAGCUUCAGAAGCAAAGCCUCUCACCAAGAGCAUGUUGAUCUAGAGAGAGCUGGAAUCAGUGUGUGGCUGUGAAACUGAACAUAAAUGUGCAGGACUAAAGAGCUGCACGUCUGCCCAGUUAAACCACUGGCCACUCACUCCAGCCAUGCCUGUGGCAGUACAAGCUUGUGAAGCCAUGGUCAGAGCCGUGGCUGGAAGGUGUUCCCGCAGGCAGAUGGGGACUGCACAUGUCGGAGGAGGCUCUAGAUGGUGCUGCUGUCCCAGGAAAGCGGAGCUGGCCUCUAUUCACCGAUAAUAAAAGC